GACGAACGCUGGCGGCGUGCUUAACACAUGCAAGUCGAACGGAAAGGCCGUGCUUUUGUGCGGUGCUCGAGUGGCGACCGGGUGAGCAACCCGUGAGUUACCUGCACCUGCCUUUGGGAUAACUUCAGGACACUGGGGCUAAUCCCGGAUAGGAGCUCCUGCUGCUUGGUGGGGGUUGGAAAGUUUCGGCGGUUGGGAAUGGGCUCGCGGCUUAUGAGCUUGAUGGAUGGGUAGUGGCUUAGCAUGGCUUUGCCGGGUAGCCGGCCUGAGCGGGGGAGCGGCCACAUUGGGACUGGAAUGAGACCCAGACUCCUACGGGAGGCAGCGGUGGGGAAGAGUGCACAAUGGGCGGAGGCCUGAUGCAGCAACGCCGCGUGCGGUAUGACGGCCUGCGGGUUGUAAACCGCUUUCGCCUGUGACGAAGCGUGAGUGACGGUAAUGGGUAAAGAAGCACCGGCUAACUACGUG
rnacentral:rRNA from 1 species